UACGUAGGGGGCUAGCGUUAUCCGGAAUUACUGGGCGUAAAGGGUGCGUAGGUGGUUUCUUAAGUCAGAGGUGAAAGGCUACGGCUCAACCGUAGUAAGCCUUUGAAACUGGGGAACUUGAGUGCAGGAGAGGAGAGAGGAAUUCCUAGUGUAGCGGUGAAAUGCGUAGAUAUUAGGAGGAACACCAGUUGCGAAGGCGGCUCUCUGGACUGUAACUGACACUGAGGCACGAAAGCGUGGGGAGCAAACAGG
rnacentral:rRNA from 1 species